rnacentral:sRNA from 1 species
AGCAGCCGCGGUAAUUCCAGCUCCAAUAGCGUAUAUUAAAGUUGUUGCAGUUAAAAAGCUCGUAGUUGAAUUUCGGGAUCAAUAUAUCGGUCGUGCCAUCGGCACGUACUGGUAUGAUUGGUUUCUCCUUUCUGACGAACCAUGAUGUCAUUAAUUUGGUGUUAUGGGAAGUUAGGACUGUUACUUUGAAAAAUUAGAGUGUUUAAAGCAGGCUCGCGCUUGAAUACAUUAGCAUGGAAUAAUGAAAUAGGACGUUUGAUUCUAUUUUGUUGGUUUCUAGGAUCGACGUAAUGAUUAAUAGGGAUAGUUGGGGGCAUUAGUAUUCAAUUGUCAGAGGUGAAAUUCUUGGAUUUAUUGAAGACUAACUACUGCGAAAGCAUUUGCCAAGGAUGUUUUCAUUAAUCAAGAACGAAAGUUAGGGGAUCGAAGACGAUCAGAUACCGUCGUAGUCUUAACCAUAAA